rnacentral:snRNA from 1 species
GGAUGUGAGGGCGAUCUGGCUGUGACAUCUGUCACCCCAUUGAUCACCAGGGUUGAUUCAGCUGAUCUGGCUGGCUAGGCGGGUGUCCCUUCCUCCCACUCUGAUCCAUGUGCGUCCCUCCCAAAGCUGCCCACAGGCACUCAGUUGAAGAGGAUGACCUUCCCCCCAGAGGAGAAGACUAAUUUUCAGUCAAGGGUAUACGAGUAGCUGCACUCCCCUGCUAGAACCUCCAAACAAGCUCUCCAAGUGGCUGUGCCAUUUUACAUUCCCCAGCAGGCAUGAAAGUUUUGAAUUCUCCACAUUCUCACCAAUACUUGUUAUUAUCUGA